UACGGGGGGAGCAAGCGUUGUUCGGAUUUACUGGGCGUAAAGGGCGCGUAGGCGGUCAGCACAAGUCAGUUGUGAAAUCUCCGAGCUUAACUCGGAAAGGUCAACUGAUACUGUGCGACUAGAGUGCGGAAGGGGCAACUGGAAUUCUCGGUGUAGCGGUGAAAUGCGUAGAUAUCAGGAGGAACACCGGUGGCGAAGGCGGCUAUCUGGACAGAGUCUGACGCUGAUGCGCGAAAGCUAGGGGAGCAAACAGG
rnacentral:rRNA from 1 species